UGUGUGAAGAAGGUCUUCGGAUUGUAAAGCACUUUUGGCAGGGACGAUGAUGACGGUACCUGCAGAAUAAGCCCCGGCUAACUUCGUGCCAGCAGCCGCGG
rnacentral:rRNA from 1 species